GGAGGCCCAUAGCUCAGUGGUAGAACAUCUGUUUUGCAUACAGAAGAUUCCCAGUUCAAUCCCUGGCAUCUCCA